GCUUGUCUCAAAGAUUAAGCCAUGCAUGUCUAAGUACAAGCCUCAGUAAGGUGAAACCGCGAAUGGCUCAUUAAAUCACACCUAAUCUACUGGAAAGUUACUAGUUACUUGGAUAACUGAGGUAAUUCUUGAGCUAAUACAUGACUAAAAGGGCUAGCCCUGCAUUUAUUAGAUACAACCAACCCUUCGGGUUUUGGCGAAUCAUAAUAACUGAGCGGACCGUAUUCGUACGGCGUUUCUUAUUAAUUUCUGCCCUAUCAGCUUUCGAUGGUAGGGUAUUGGCCUACCAUGGCGUUAACGGGUAACGGAGAAUUAGGGUUCGAUUCCGGAGAGGGAGCCUGAGAGAUGGCUACCACAUCCAAGGAAGGCAGCAGG
rnacentral:rRNA from 1 species